rnacentral:tRNA from 1 species
AUUUGAGUAGUUUAAGUAAAACGUCAGUUUGUGGAGCUGAAUAUGUAGAAUGGACUUACCUCAAAUC